GUUUAAGUAGUUUAUUUAUAAAAUAUUAAUUUGUGGAAUUAAAGAAAUUUUUUUUUAUCUUAAAUA
rnacentral:tRNA from 1 species